UACAGAGGUCCCAAGCGUUGUUCGGAUUCACUGGGCGUAAAGGGUGCGUAGGCGGUCGGGUAAGUCUGACGUGAAAUCUCCGGGCCUAACCCGGAAACUGCGUUGGAAACUGCCUGGCUAGAGGAAUGGAGGGGAGACUGGAAUACUUGGUGUAGCAGUGAAAUGCGUAGAUAUCAAGUGGAACACCAGUGGCGAAGGCGAGUCUCUGGACAUUUCCUGACGCCGAGGCACGAAAGCCAGGGGAGCA
rnacentral:rRNA from 1 species